rnacentral:tRNA from 1 species
AAAUAAGAAGCAAAAUUGCAUUUAAUUUCGACUUAAAAGAAAGAGUAAAUAACCUACUCCUUAUUUA